rnacentral:lncRNA from 1 species
UUAAAUUGAUUUAUCUCGUUCAGUAAUUUCUGUUCUCUAUCUUUUUCUUCUUUUUCUUUUUGCCUUUGUUCAUACAGCUCUUUUAACAUUUGUAGUUCUUUUUCUAAUUCAGCAAUCCUACUAUUUUUAGUUUCUUCUAUUUUUCGUAUUUCUUCCGUAGUUUGUUGUUUUAUUUUUUCUAUUUCCUUUUUCCUAUCUAUUUCUUCAUUUGCUCUUUCUAU